rnacentral:lncRNA from 1 species
GUGGACAGACUCCACAUGGAGUGAAAAGGCUUUGCCGACCGUCAACUUACACAGGGCAACAAGAAAAGCCAAUCAGAUUGCCUCCUAUGCCCAACCAGUCACCUACCUGCCUCAGCUCUGGACUCUGAGCUCUGCCAGCCCCAGAGAUUUGAGUCAAGCCAGAACAGCCUCAUCUCAGGCAGUGAAAGAAUCCCAAGAGGAUGCUACCUAAACACAAAUUUAAUAUUCUGGUGGUUGGAUUUUCCCUCCUUCCCCUUGGGUUUGUUCUGUUUUGUGGUGUUGGGGACCUAACUAGGGCCUUGGCUGUAUCAGACAAGCGCGCUCAACCCCGAGCUACAUCUCCAGCCCCUGAAUGUAUUAAUUCGGAAUGUGAUUCUAAUCCGUUUUUCCCAUCCCUAAAAUUCCUGGUAAUCUGGUUUGUUCCAGAGCUAAAUAAAACAGACAAGAUUUUGUGUG